CACCUUUCUCUCUUUCUAAGAAGACGUCUUAGACAUUUUUCUUUCUUUCAAACUUUCAUACUUUAUUUAUCCAAUCUCUACUCACUUACAAGCAUGUGAGUAACUGACACCUGAAACCUGUGUGAAGCAAGUAAUGUGAUUGUAGAGAAAUGAAGAAAGGUGAAACGGUGAUGAAUUCUUCUACCUUUGAAUGGAGCUACCUCUACCUCGGUAAAUCAUAUUUUCAAAUUCCGACAUCUAUAUACAUACUAAAUUGAAUAAAAAGUCAUAUUUUUUUUUAAGGCUGACAAUAAAAGAAUGAGGAGAUCAUUACUUAAGUGUCACAAAAAAACAAUUUUAGGCGAUCAUGGAGAAAAUAGAUUGAUCACUUAGGUCAAACACAAUCUUACAUGAUGGUUCGAAAGCAAUUCUUGAUCUUCAAAUAGGUUUAGAGAAUGGUGCAAUACUUUCAUCGACUGGAUCAACAUAGAAACUAUACUUCAAUUAGAUAUGUAUGCUUUAUAAGAAACUGUUGCAUAGAUAAAUAUAUAUUGAUCUAUUGGUUGGUUAGUUUGCUUGUUUGCCCUUUUAAAGUAUUGGUCAAUUUCUCAAAACUGUUAAUUUAGGAUAUUUAAGGCUAUAUAUUUUCAAGUUUGUUUUUGGUGACUCUGAUUUUUCAUUAGUGAUUGCAGAUGAUAAAAGUUGAUAGUAAUCAAAACAGAAGUUCGCCUAAGCUGCUGAUGGAUAAGAGGUUGAUAUUGUACUUGUAAUAGUGGGAGUUAUUGCCUUAUUGGUGAUACAGAAUAUAUAAUUCAUAACUUGCGAGUCUUGGAUACUUUAUAUAUUAAUUCAUUGUUUAAAUUAUGUGUAUUUCAAAUGGUUGAUCGUAAUAAAAACUAAAAAAAACUAGGAAACUUGUGCUAUAUAG
rnacentral:lncRNA from 1 species